GCGGAUGUAGCUCAGUGGUAGAGCGCUGUCCUUCCACGUCAGACGUCGCGCGUUCGAAUCGCGUCAUCCGCU
rnacentral:tRNA from 1 species